UUACCCCAAUGUUCCCCAUGUUUUCGCGUCCGGUUGUCAUCGAAAAUUAAAGUGUUGUUUGUGUGAUUAGUGUGCGACGAAGAUGAAGUUUCCGGCCGAGGAGGUUCCAUCUAGGCGGUUCCAUCUGGUCGAGGAUGGCGAGGACAAAUAUGCUGCGCUGGGCAAGCAACCCGAGAGCACAUGCAUCACGAAAUCGAUCGGCUGUUGAAGAGAUCUGAACAAACCCUGGUCAACAUCCUGUUGGCCAACAACUACCAUCAACCGGACCUUUCCGAAGUUUUCUUCUGGUGGCCGAGGGCAUCUACAUAGAGAUGUUGCCGAAUUUCGGCCGGAGCAUGGUUGCCGACCGGAACUUCAAAACGGGUGACGUACUUUCGGACGCUAGGUGCAUUCCUCUUGGGCUGGGAUGCGGCACCAAUAAGAUGAACCGUGCGAUCCUUUUCAACUUGAGCUUCUGUGAAGGUUUCCGGCAGCAGUGGCAGUAACUACUUCAAUACGGCAUUACAAUUCACAGGACAACGAACAGCACCAUAGCAA